GACGUAGGGCGCGAGCGUUGUCCGGAUUUAUUGGGCGUAAAGAGCUCGUAGGCGGCUUGUCGCGUCGACUGUGAAAACUCGGGGCUCAACUCCGAGCUUGCAGUCGAUACGGGCAGGCUAGAGUUCGGUAGGGGAGACUGGAAUUCCUGGUGUAGCGGUGAAAUGCGCAGAUAUCAGGAGGAACACCGGUGGCGAAGGCGGUUCUCUGGGCAUUACCUGACGCUGAGGAGCGAAAGUGUGGGGAGCGAACAGG
rnacentral:rRNA from 1 species